CAAUAGCGUAUAUUAAAGUUGUUGCAGUUAAAAAGCUCGUAGUUGGAUUUCUGGGUUUGUGUACUGGUCUAGCGGUUAUCCGUUUUGUACUGGUGCGUGGGCUCAUUCCUUCGGAGGAUGCCUGUUCGGCAUUAAUUUGUCGGCGGGGUUUCAUUUGUGCUCCGAUCGUUUACUUUGAACAAAUUAGAGUGUUCAAAGCAGGCCUUUGUGCCUUGAAUACAUUAGCAUGGAAUGAUGGAAUAGGACUCUUUGUUCUAUUUUGUUGGUUUCUAGGGAAAGAGUAAUGAUUAAUAGGGAUAGUUGGGGGCAUUCAUAUUCCGUUGUCAGAGGUGAAAUUCUUGGAUUUACGGAAGACGAACUACUGCGAAAGCAUUUACCAAGGAUGUUUUCAUUAA
rnacentral:rRNA from 1 species